rnacentral:rRNA from 1 species
GAGUUUGAUCAUGGCUCAGAUUGAACGCUGGCGGCAGGCCUAACACAUGCAAGUCGAGCGGAUGACGGGAGCUUGCUCCUUGAUUCAGCGGCGGACGGGUGAGUAAUGCCUAGGAAUCUGCCUGGUAGUGGGGGACAACGUUUCGAAAGGAACGCUAAUACCGCAUACGUCCUACGGGAGAAAGCAGGGGACCUUCGGGCCUUGCGCUAUCAGAUGAGCCUAGGUCGGAUUAGCUAGUUGGUGGGGUAAUGGCUCACCAAGGCGACGAUCCGUAACUGGUCUGAGAGGAUGAUCAGUCACACUGGAACUGAGACACGGUCCAGACUCCUACGGGAGGCAGCAGUGGGGAAUAGUUGGACAAGUGGGACGAAAGCCUGAUCCAGCCAUGCCGCGUGUGUGAAGAAGGUCUUCGGAUUGUAAA